GCUGGCUGACGGAAGCAGGCAGCUGUUGGCCUUUAUUUCACUGGAGCAGCUUAUCUCAGAUCAUCUCCUCAAUCACAGGCCCUUAAACAGCUUCUGACAAUCAAUUCAUAUCCCUGCUGCUGGGAGGUGGAGGAAAAGAAUUACCUUACUUAUCUGUGUAUAAGCUGGAAAAAAAUUACCGUACUUAUCUGUGUAUAACCUGCAGCCGCCCUGUGACUGAGUGAGAUCACGCUGGGAAUGGGCUGCCACCUCCCAAAUCCCAGGGUUUGAUGUCUGUACCUCACGCCACACGCUUGUCUCGUCUUCACCUUUGUCUCCUGAGGGAUGGACACUGUUACAGAAGACGGACGUGUUUGAUGCUGAAGUCACACAGUAUCCUGCCAGCAUCAGUUAAACGAUGAAUCUUGUAUGACACACGUCAAGUCUGAGAGGUGUUUCCCACUGUAAGCUCGCUCAUCUUUGUGCUCAUCAGACAACUGCUUUCCUAGAUACCAUAAACCCUGUCUUCCAUUACCGCUGGUUUAACAUAAGGCCAUUACUCUUCUGUGAUCGUGGGGCAAACUGCAUCUGCUCCAUGCCACGAAGUCCCACUCUUCAGCUCCAGGUUGCAUGGAACACUGCAGAAGCAGCGUCAGCAGCAUCAGGGGAAGAUGAGAUUCUCUGUUCCCCCAGUUUCUUUUCUCCCGAUACACUACCCAGGAAAGGAGACUACAGAGUCUGUUUGCACAGUAACGCACCACAAUCUUGUCAAAGAAAGGAGCGUUUCUGUCAUCUAGCUGUUUUCCCCAGAGGACUCUAAAGGACGGAACUGCUGCCACUACUUUUUUAUGGAACCAGGACCCAGAGAGGAAGAAGAGCAGAAGGAGCAGAAGGGUGUAGAGACCUUGGCAGGACUGAAAGCAGAGGGCAGUGGGAGGUGGCGAAUUCAGGGAGACCAGAGUGCUAAGAGGUUCCCAGAGCCCAGUUUCCUGCCAAAGAAUGACUUGCUGGGGAAAGUAAAUGUUUUACUGUUUCUCUGACUUUAUAUGUACACAUCUAAGACUUCUUGUAUUGUUAUAGCCUUUAUGUAAAACCCCUCCCAGACUUAACGGGUAUAACUGGGAGGAUAAAGCAGAGACCCUUGGUGGUAGCCAAAAUCAAUGUGAUGCCAUGACCGGAAACUGACAGCACACUUGUGAAGGGCUGGAGGUCAAGCACCCUCACAGAAGUGUGUGGUUAAAAAAUAACUGUGAGUUCGCAUUGCAAGUCUCUGUCCUCCACAG
ensembl:lncRNA